rnacentral:lncRNA from 1 species
UUAGGUUGAUCUCUUUACCCAAUGGGCCCAACGGCCCAUUGGACCUUGACUCACGCCCUGAUCGGGGGCGUCCAGCCCAAGUAAGGCAGGUGGGCCCCUGUCGCGCGGUGCUAUAUGUAGAGGAGGUGGGGACCAUGACACGGGUUACGAGGUUCGCCGUCACCACUGGUUCCCCACCUCUAACCCUAAUCCGAUCGAGAGGGCAGCACUGAAGCGAUGGCAAGUCCAUCACAGCCACCACCGGAUCUCUCUCCUUCCCCACCGUCGUCACCACCUCACGACGGUCACUGGAGGGAACUCAUCGAGUACGGCAUAAGGUAACAUACCACUACUCUCACCGAACACAUCUAGCCUUGUCGAUCUACAGGAUCUAUCAAUGGUAUUAGAGCCACAAGGCUUUAGAUGUGUUCCGGUUGCAAGAAGAUAACGAAAGCGAAAAAGCCCCCCCCCCACCAUAUGAACCCUAGAAGAGGGCAAAGAUCAAGAUGAAAAGCAAAACAAAAGGAAAGUCACCGGAUUUCCAUCCGGCAAAGAAGGCCGCCGCAAGGCCGCGCUUGUUCCUCUCGAUCCCCACACGCAUCGGCAUGCCGAGGUAUGGGGAAGAAGAACCAACCUCCUUGGAGGCAAAGUAUGGAUCUAAUUAGAUCCAAAAGGAAAACAAACAAAGGAAUCGGAUUGAAUCCGAAAAAGAAAAGCAAAUGCAAAAGGAAGGGAAAUGCAGAGCAAAGCAUCAGCCCUUCGGGCAAAGGGCAUCAACACCGCUCCCUUGACGGUGGCGCGUUCACCUUGAAGGUGCUCACGCGCGCUGGCAAAAGAACGUGGAUGAUGCCGAGGUUCUUCUGUGUUAAGGGGAAAAGGAAAUAAGGGCACCGCAAGCACGCCGUUCGACGGCAGUGCGCUUCCACGAAGGGAAACGCACCACCGGCGAAAGGGGUGGUCACGGCGCCAACAGAGCAAAAGAAGGUGCGCCGCGGCGUGGCACGGGACUCAUGGUCUCCACUGCCGGCGGCCACCACAAACCACGGCAGGGAGCCGCCACGGGUGCUGCUCGCACGAAGGAAAAGGGAACCACGACCUUCCGCUCGACGGCGGCGCACACACCGCAAGGAGUAUGCACAGCCGGCGAGGGGAACACCAUGGCUCCGAGGAAAGGAAAAGAGGUGGCCACCAUGAGCAGAGAACGGCCACGGCGCGCUGCGCUCGGCGGGGCUCGAGGGCCGCCACGCGAGGCAGUGGCUUGGCCACACCCGCAGGAGGGCGCGCGCGACGAGGGGCCCUCGGCCGCCACGGCCGGCGGCCACCUCCCACACCCUCUGGCGAGGCAUCUAGCCACCGCGCGCGAGAGAGCAGGCCGCCGCCGCGGGGCGAGACAGCUGAGCGACGAGGAGACAGCUGCGCGGUGCGGGAAAGAAUGGGGGCUAGGGUUUCCCCUUGCCGAAACCACCCUUUUUGCUACAGCCGAAAGAGAGGGGGUACCGUCGGAUCCGAUCCGACGACCCUGAUAGCCCCGCGCUGAAACCCUAGAAAUGGGAGUCCAAUUGGGCUGAGAUGAGCAGGCCAGAGGCCGACGGGAGGAGUGCCGGCCCACGCAGAGGCAAGUGGCCAGAGGCCGCCGUGAGCUAGCCGGAUGACAAAGGCCAGCAGGAGCUGGGCCUGCCCAGACCGAGAGAGAGAGGUCGAAAGAUACUCGGCCAGUCCCUUUUUUAUUUUUUCAGCGAAAAAGGCCCGCAUAGGUUUUUCCUUUAAAAGGUUUUUUGUUUUCUGUCCAGUUUUUGGGCAGAUUCCAAAGUAUUUUUCUUAGCAUAUUUUCCAACGAAAAUAUUGUUUAGAAAAUAGAAAAGAAAAAGUUGAAAGUUUCUGUAAAAAUAGACAGAAAAGUAAUGUUAAUUUUUCUUAAAAGAAAAAUAAAAGGUUCUGAAAAUAAAAGAAGAUUUUCAGAAAAAGAAAAUUUUAUGGAUUUUAUAAAAGGGAUUAUAAAGUUCAUGAAUUUUAAAUUUUAACCGAAUAUUUUUCUAUAAGGGUGUAUGAAUUUUCAUACUCACGUUUUUCCGCUGCAAAGUAAAAAGGUUUAGUCCUCCAAUUAAAUUGGAACCAACGGGAAAAUUUAAUUGGAAGAACUGUUAUUAGCAAAGUUUUUCCCUUGUGGGUGAGAUAGGAUUCAAACAGUUUCCGCUAUGACAAUAGAAUGAUGUUUGUUUUAAAGUUAAAUAUGGUAUUGUUAUUUUCUGACCAACGUUGAUGAUAACAAUACUAUAAUUGUGCGAGUCAUCUUAUGUUUAAAGCUUAAAUCUCUGAUAAAUUUUGUAUCAAAGUGAUCAAUUUUUCGGAGCACAGAUAUAGAAAUGCAUAUGGUUAAUGAUGAUGAUGAUUAUUUCUUAGCAAAGUUGUUCAAUAGAAAUACUAUCAUCACAUUGUUUAUGAGUUAUAUGCAUUAUUUCUAUUUCUGCCCAACGGUGAUAUGGAAUUAAUGCAGAAGAAUGAUGUUUUAUUCUAAUUCUGCCACAACGGUGUUUUAGAAUAUUCCAGAAAGUUUUAAAAGGUUUAAUGUGCAUGAUUUUAAUCAGACCAACGUAGGGUUAUUUUUAUGCUCAUUACCGUUGUUUAUCGGCUAAGUUUUCUCAGACUAAAAGUUAUUCAAGCUUUCAGUCAUGAAAGCGAAUGGUUUGGAUAUUAGUGACCCGAAAGUUAGAAAAGAAAGGCCAUAACUUGAGGGAAUAAAUUCUCUCUAAAGAAUGGCUUCACAAGAAAAGAACUCUUGGAUAUUAAUUCAAGAAAAGAAAAGAGAUAGAUCAUUGAGAGUCUUGGUUGACGAAUGUCUUUCAUGUACUCUCUAUGAUGGAGUCUCCUUUUUUCAGUCAACAUGAUUGAAAUGAAACAAGCAACAUGCAUGUUUAAUUUGACCAACGUCAGAUCAAACAUGUGUGUCAAAGAUAAUUCAGAUUUAUUUCUGAAUUUAAUGCAGUCAAAAGUCUGGGAAGAAUGCCUGCGUAACCGGGUGAAGUUGACAUUGUAUUAUGUCAACAAUCCGUGUAUGGCGGGAGAAAUUUUGGCAAAAGCCUUAUCCUGUAUGACAGGAGAAAGUUAUGAUGACUCAUGUGCGGUUAAUGUGUCCACUAUGGGAGAAAAGUAUGGAGUAGCUAUUAAGCUUUCCUAUCAUCGACCAUACACCUUAUGUGUAACGGUCAUUAUGCAAUCACUAAAUCUAGAAAGGAUAAAAUUAACAGACGAACCUAAAGACAAGAAUGAUAUGCAAGUGUGACUUGCUAAAGAGACAAUGAUAAAGAACUCUGUUGAGUUUCUGAAAUGAAAUGAGGAAAAAGUACUCCCAUACUAGUUAACUUAUAACUUCAUUUUACAUGAAGUGAUAAGAUGAAUGAGCUAGAUAAUCGAAGUUUCCUCAUUUCACAAGAGCUAUGAGUGGGUUUCGAAAUUGUGGCAGAAAAGUUCUUGCCACAUUUCGAGGAGGAGAAAGAGACAUGAAAUACAUUGUAGUGUAUUUCAUGACUCCUGUGUACUUUAGAUGAUGUGAUGCACAUUAUGCAUCUAAAGUGAUCCAUUAAUGAAGAAUGUGAUUGUCAAGGGGAGUACGACAGUCAUCUGAAUACCGUCAUUAUGAUACCCCUAAAGAAAAGAAACUGUUGUAUUUUCGAAUCUUUUAUAGUUCCGAAAGCAGACUAAGGAAUACAACGGUGGUGCUUAAAGUGCCAUAAAGAAGAAAGUUUAAAGAUACGCCAUUUCUUCAGUGAAGAUGGAGUAAUCUGGGGGAGUACGUUCUAUGACCUAUACAACACCUGUUGUUAGCUCUACAAGGGAUCUUGUGAUACAGGUCCCUGUAAAACCUAUUGCCUUUUGGAAAUGGGUGACUAUAGAAUUAAUUGCCUCUUGGCAAUGACAGAGCAACGACAACCCCAUAUGAAAGAAGUGCCAGUACCUUAGAUUUUGAUGGUCUCUAGGAAUGUGAAAAUCAGAUACUUGUGACUACUAUAAAGUCUAUAUUAGUGAAAUUCCAUCAUUCGAAUUUCACUAACAUAGACUUUAUGAAGGGUCUACAAGGCAAAUGUGACUCCAAAGAAAAUAUGUAAAGGUGUAAAACAUGACUUAAAUCGAAAGAUUUUUGCAUAAAGAAAAUGAGAGGACAAUUGUAAUCAUGCAAAGUUAUAGAAUGGGAAAUUCGUUUCCCAAUUCCUGUGCAUGUGGAUGACGUCCUACUUGCAAGUGGUGAUGUCAGUCUACUGCAGGAGGAGAGAAGAAGUUUUUGUCCUCAAAGUUAAAAAGAAUAAAAAAGGGGUAUUAGGAAUGUCACAUGGACAUACUAAGAAAGAUCUCUAAAGUAUGCAUACGAGAAAACCUAUGCCUGUUCUUAUAGUCAAGGGUAAUGGAAGUGGAAACUAUGGUGUUCCAAAAGUUAAUAAGAAAAGAUUGCAAACGGAUAUGGUACCAUAUGCUUCAAUUGUUGGAAGCUCAAGAUAUUACCCUGACACAGUUCACGUAUAUAUCCGGGUUGUUUUGACAAUGUCCAGUCCAUAGAUAAAUCAAUGGAAUGGAGCCAAAGAUAUCGGCCUCAUGCUAAAAGAAAUAAGUGCUCUCAAAAAAAAAUUGUGAGUACAAAGGCAGGACUUGUGAAAUGUAUAGCAAAAUCCACAAUUGUCGCUAACUUUCAUACUCGGAGUUUUGUGUGGAAAAUCUCCAAAUGAGUAAAACGAUUGUCAUCAACGUGAUGCAAUGAUAUGUUAUAGCUUGAUAUGAGGCUGAGGGACGGGCAACAUGGUUAAGGCUACCUGUACCCGGAGUGGAUAAUGGUUGACAACGACGAUUACCAUUUUAAGUUCUUUCGCUCCUGUCACAACGAGUCAAGUGUUGAUGCCAAACACACUGACAAAGAGUUACGUGUUGUGAAGAAGAAAGUCCGGAAUUAUGGAAAAAUGCUUGAAGCAUAAAAGCAACAAACAAGUGUUUUGCAGAUCUGCUUAUCAAAGGCUUACCGCCCAGUGUGUUCGGAGAACACGCAGUCGACAUGGGUUUUAUGGUAUAGUCUAAUAUUUCCGGACAACAAAGGGCCCAAGGUUAAAGAAUCUGUCUCAAAAUAGAGAGGUACAUUGUGGCUGUCUGAUUCCAUCGGCAAUUGAGCCGUGACGAUGAAACAUGCCCUAUGUAUUGAUCUGUUAUGAAACGGAUAAAGUUAAAAGUAUAUUAUGAGAUCAAGGGGGAGAAUGUUAGGUUGAUCUCUUUACCCAAUGGGCCCAACGGCCCAUUGGACCUUGACUCACGCCCUGAUCGGGGGCGUCCAGCCCAAAUAAGGCUGGUGGGCCCCUGUCGCGCGGUGCUAUAUGUAGAGGAGGUGGGGACCAUGGCACGGGUUACGAGGUUCGCCGCCACCACUGGUUCCCCACCUCUAACCCUAAUCCGAUCCAGAGGGCAGCACUGAAGCGAUGGGAAGUCCAUCACAGCCACCACCGGAUCUCUCUCCUUCCCCACCGUCGUCACCACCUCACGACGGUCACUGGAGGGAACUCAUCGAGUACGGCAUAAGGUAACAUACCACUACUUUCACCGAACACAUCUAGCCUUGUCGAUCCACGGGAUCUAUCACCCCAUAUGUAAGAUCCUUCUUGAGAUCCCUCGAGAACGUUGAUCCACUUUGGGUUGCACUGAAACCUGCUCUCAGUGUGGACGACAUCCCUGACCUGUAAGAAGUUUAUCCAUCAUUUCUAGGCCUCUCCUUGUUCGGCGAUGCAUCUUUUUUCAGUGAUACUGUACAUACAAUCGACAGUAACAUAAUACAUAUAUGUGCAAGAUGAAAGUAAUUACCGCUUGAAGAAUCUCCUCUGCUUGCUCAUCUCCGAUGAGUCUGAGUCCAGCUGUGGCCUGCACAUUUCAUUUCCGCAACAAAACAUAUAUAUUUUGAGGAACAAAUUGAUUUUUAGUUUAGAGUUCAUCAUUUAGA